rnacentral:rRNA from 1 species
UACGUAGGGGGCAAGCGUUGUCCGGAAUCAUUGGGCGUAAAGCGCGCGUAGGCGGCCCGGUAAGUCCGCUGUAAAAGUCCAGGGCUCAACCCUGGAAAGCCGGUGGAUACUGUCGGGCUAGAGUCCGGAAGAGGCGAGUGGAAUUCCUGGUGUAGCGGUGGAAUGCGCAGAUAUCAGGAAGAACACCAAUGGCGAAAGCAGCUCUCUGGGACGGUACUGACGCUGAGACGCGAAAGCGUGGGGAGCGAACAGG